AGUGAACGCUGGCGGUAGGCCUAACACAUGCAAGUCAAACGGCAGCACAGUAAGAGCUUGCCCUUACGGGUGGCGAGUGGCGGACGGGUGAGGAAUACAUCGGAAUCUACUUUUUCGUGGGGGAUAACGUAGGGAAACUUACGCUAAUACCGCAUACGACCUACGGGUGAAAGCAGGGGAUCUUCGGACCUUGCGCGAUUGAAUGAGCCGAUGUCGGAUUAGCUAGUUGGCGGGGUAAAGGCCCACCAAGGCGACGAUCCGUAGCUGGUCUGAGAGGAUGAUCAGCCACACUGGAACUGAGACACGGUCCAGACUCCUACGGGAGGCAGCAGUGGGGAAUAUUGGACAAUGGGCGCAAGCCUGAUCCAGCCAUACCGCGUGGGUGAAGAAGGCCUUCGGGUUGUAAAGCCCUUUUGUUGGGAAAGAAAAGCAGCAGGUUAAUACCCCGCUGUUCUGACGGUACCCAAAGAAUAAGCACCGGCUAACUUCGUG
rnacentral:rRNA from 1 species